AAUAACUCUAGCUCUGUGCCUUCUCUUGAAAAUAUCUUGCCUGAAUCGCUUGGUCUCAAUUUGUAUGUCCAUGAAAGGCCUCUUCUCUAUGUUUUCUUUUUCACUUUCCAACAUCUUUUGCCUUCUUAUCACUGCCAUGGCUGCAUCUUUAUCCUCCAUUUCCUGAUGUUUUGCCUCUUCCUGCAGGGAUGUUGUCAUGUGUAUAAGGAGUUCGCUUAAAGAUUAGUAGGAAAAAUGAAGCAUAAAAGAAAAUAAAGCGAAAGAUGAAGAUUUUAUAGACCAAAUGCUUUAUAGGCUUCGGUGCAUGUUUGGAUUAGCGUUGAGACUGCCCGAAUCAUGGUGAGCCACCGUGAUUUUGGCACAAAAGCUACUCUUUGUAGCUUAAACAAAAUCUCGGUGACAUUGUGAUUUUAUCAAACUCUUCGCUCAUCCAAACAUAUACUAAUUGACAACAAAACUACAGAAAAGUUUUGUAUAAGGUUACCUAUCUAAAGAAGCCUCAGAUACUAUAAUUUUUCAUGUUUAUAUUUCAACCAAAUACUAUAAGGUUUGCAAUCACAUUAAAAUGACA
rnacentral:lncRNA from 1 species